GUUUGAUCCUGGCUCAGAACGAACGCUGGCGGCAUGCCUAACACAUGCAAGUCGAACGGAUGGUUUCGGCCAUCAGUGGCGCACGGGUGAGUAACGCGUGGGAAUCUGCCCAGCAGUGGGGGAUAACCUCUGGAAACGGAGGCUAAUACCGCAUACGCCCCUCGGGGGAAAGGCUUGCUGCUGCUGGAGGAGCCCCGCGUCGGAUUAGGUAGUUGGUGGGGUAACGGCCUACCAAGCCUGUGAUCCGUAGCUGGUCUGAGAGGAUGAUCAGCCACACUGGGACUGAGACACGGCCCAGACUCCUACGGGAGGCAGCAGUGGGGAAUAUUGGACAAUGGGGGCAACCCUGAUCCAGCAAUGCCGCGUGAGUGAUGAAGGCCUCGGUUGUAAAGGACUCUUUCGUCCCACGACGAUGAUGACGGUAGU
rnacentral:rRNA from 1 species